rnacentral:rRNA from 1 species
UAAACGCUGGCGGCGUGCCUAAUACAUGCAAGUCGAGCGGUAACACUUCGGGUGACGAGCGGCGGACGGCAGAGUAACGCGUAGGAACGUACCCCAAACUGAGGGAUAAGCCCGGGAAACCGGGUCUAAUACCGCAUAUUAUUUUAGAAUCAAAGCCUUCGGGCGGUUUGGGAGCGGCCUGCGUAUGAUUAGCUUGUUGGUGAGGUAAUGGCUCACCAAGGCGACGAUCAUUAGCUGGUCNGAGAGGAUGAUCAGCCUGACUGGAACUGAGAACGGUCCAGACUCCUACGGGAGGCAGCAGUAGGGAAUUUUCCGCAAUGGGCGAAAGCCUGACGGAGCAACGCCGCGUGCAGGAGGAAGGCCUUCGGGUUGU